rnacentral:rRNA from 1 species
UACAGAGGUCUCAAGCGUUGUUCGGAUUCAUUGGGCGUAAAGGGUGCGUAGGUGGCGCUGUAAGUCGGGUGUGAAAUUUCGGAGCUUAACUCCGAAACUGCAUUCGAUACUGCGGUGCUUGAGGACUGGAGAGGAGACUGGAAUUCAUGGUGUAGCAGUGAAAUGCGUAGAGAUCAUGAGGAAGACCAGUGGCGAAGGCGGGUCUCUGGACAGUUCCUGACGCUGAGACGCGAAAGCGUGGGGAGCGAACAGG